UGGGGAAUUUUGCGCAAUGGGCUAACGCCUGACGCAGCAACGCCGCGUGGAGGAUGAAGGUCUUUGGAUUGUAAACUCCUGUCGACCGGGAAAAAGCAACUCGACCUAACACGUCGGGGAGUUGAUUGUACCGGUGGAGGAAGCCCCGGCUAACUUCGUGCCAGCAGCCGCGGUAAGACGAAGGGGGCUAGCGUUGUUCGGAAUUACUGGGCGUAAAGCGCGUGUAGGCGGUUGUCCAAGUUGGAUGUGAAAGCCUUGAGCUCAACUCAAGAAAUGCAUUCAGGACUGGAUGACUAGAGGACCGGAGAGGAUAGUGGAAUUCCCAGUGUAGUGGUGAAAUACGUAGAGAUUGGGAAGAACACCAGUGGCGAAGGCGGCUAUCUGGACGGUUUCUGACGCUAAGACGCGAAAGCGUGGGGAGCAAAC
rnacentral:rRNA from 1 species